GCGGGAAUAACUCAGUGGUAGAGUGUCAGCUUCCCAAGCUGAAGGCCGCGGGUUCGAAUCCCGUUUCCCGCUCCA
rnacentral:tRNA from 2 species